CCUACGGGUGGCAGCAGUGGGGAAUAUUGCACAAUGGGGGAAACCCUGAUGCAGCGACGCCGCGUGAGUGAAGAAGUAAUUCGUUAUGUAAAGCUCUAUCAGCAGGGAAGAAAAUGACGGUACCUGAGUAAGAAGCCCCGGCUAACUACGUGCCAGCAGCCGCGGUAAUACGUAGGGGGCAAGCGGUAGCCGGAUUUACUGGGUGGAAAGGGAGCGUAGACGGCAGUGCAAGUCUGGAGGGAAAGGUGGGGGCUCAAACCCCGGACUGCUCUGGAAACUGUACGGCUGGAGUGCAGGAGAGGUAAGUGGAAUGCCUAGUGUAGCGGUGAAAUGCGUAGAUAUUAGGAGGAACACCGGUGGCGAAGGCGGCUUACUGGACUGUAACUGACGUUGAGGCUCGAAAGCGUGGGGAGCAAACAGGAUUAGAUACCCUGGUAGUC
rnacentral:rRNA from 1 species